CUAGUCAGCUUGAACGACAAGCAUCUUCCUGGCAUUUAGAAAGUCGUAGCGAGGUAGGGGUGGAAAGGAGGAAUCAGAGGGUGGUGGUGGAGAUUCGAUCCAUUCCCAAGGAGAGCCUUAAGAGAGAGAUAGUGUGAUUGGGACGGAUGAGAAGACUAUCCACGACUCGUGGCAAAUCCAAUCAAAGAGAAGGAAGAAUAGGUAGGGCACCGACUUAUAGGGAGGAUUCGGGUUCACUCCCCAAUUCUGAAGAAGCAAGCUAUCGAUUCAUCUCCACAUAUUGUGGAAACAGAUCAUGCAGAGAUCCUUUUUUUUAUACACCUACUUAACCGAAGAAAGCCCGAAAGGCUGUUAUCCAACCACUUCCAUCCGAUCAGUUCUCUCAUGUGCACCCACCGAUACGGUUGUCGAGGGAAGUCGGUCAAGUCUUCAUGCAUCCG
rnacentral:lncRNA from 1 species